rnacentral:rRNA from 1 species
CAGUAGCGUAUAUUAAAGUUGUUGCAGUUAAAAAGCUCGUAGUUGGAUUUCUGGGAGGGUGCCAAUGUCCGCCGUGUGCGAGCGCAGCGGCGCCCUUCCAUCCUUCUGUUAAGGCCUCUUGGCAUUCAUUUGCUGGUGGCGGGCGCAGAUAUUUUACCUUGAGAAAAUUAGAGUGUUUCAGGCAGGCUAAGCCGGAAUACAUUAGCAUGGAAUAAUGGAACAGGACUGAGGUCUCUUUGUUGGUUUGAGGGACUGCAGUAAUGAUUAAUAGGGAUAGUUGGGGGCAUUAGUAUUUGACUGUCAGAGGUGGAAUUCUCGGAUUUGUUAAAGACUAACUUAUGCGAAAGCAUUUGCCAAGGAUGUUUUCAUUAA